GGGGGCGACUGGCUUCGACGGAGGUCGCGAAACCAUCGGAGCAUGCCGAGGUGCNNNNNNNNNNCCCGCAAACUAUUAGUUGCCAACGACGACAACUACGCCCUAGCAGCUUAAAGCCGCUAGCCUCGUGCCGGCUUCUCCUGUGGAGUUGGAUUUUCGGGGUCAAAUCACACAGGAUCGCGCUGUAAUGUGUCUGUUAUUACAUCGUUAAACUCAAGCAGGCUCGCUGAACCGGACCCUGUCUGUCGGGCCCUGUUCAGUCAAAUUAUAGACAGACUAAGCAUGUAGCUGCCGGUGUGCGUAGGGCUUGCGGACGCGGGUUC
rnacentral:tmRNA from 1 species